UGGGGAAUUUUGGACAAUGGGGGAAACCCUGAUCCAGCCAUCCCGCGUGUGCGAUGAAGGCCUUCGGGUUGUAAAGCACUUUUGGCAGGAAAGAAACGUCGCGGGUUAAUACCCCGCGAAACUGACGGUACCUGCAGAAUAAGCACCGGCUAACUACGUGCCAGCAGCCGCGGUAAUACGUAGGGUGCAAGCGUUAGUCGGAAUUACUGGGCGUAAAGCGUGCGCAGUCGGUUCGGAAAGAAAGAUGUGAAAUCCCAGAGCUUAACUUUGGAACUGCAUUUUUAACUACCGGGCUAGAGUGUGUCAGAGGGAGGUGGAAUUCCGCGUGUAGCAGUGAAAUGCGUAGAUAUGCGGAGGAACACCGAUGGCGAAGGCAGCCUCCUGGGAUAACACUGACGCUCAUGCACGAAAGCGUGGGGAGCAAACAGGAUUAGAUACCCUGGUAGUCCACGCCCUAAACGAUGUCAACUAGCUGUUGGGGCCUUCGGGCCUUGGUAGCGCAGCUAACGCGUGAAGUUGACCGCCUGGGGAGUACGGUCGCAAGAUUAAAACUCAAAUGAAUUGACGGGGUCAUAGCUGUUUCCUG
rnacentral:rRNA from 1 species